GAUGAACGCUGGCGGCGUGCUUAACACAUGCAAGUCGAACGGAAAGGCUCCUGCUUUCCGGGGUACUCGAGUGGCGAACGGGUGAGUAACACGUGGGUGAUCUGCCCUUCACUUCGGGAUAAGCCUGGGAAACUGGGUCUAAUACCGGAUAGGACGAUGGUUUGGAUGCCAUUGUUUAAUGUUUUUCGGUGUUGGAUGAGCUCGCGGCCUAUCAGCUUGUUGGUUGGGUAAUUGCCUACCAAGGCGUCUACGGGUAGCCGGCCCUAGAGGGGGUACGGCCACCAUGGGACUUGGGUACGGCCCAGAAUCCUACCGGGGGCAAGAGGGGGGAAUUAUGCGCAACGGGGCGCAGGCCUGUUCAGGGGACCCCGGUGGGGGAUGACGGCCUUCGGGUUGUAAACUCCUUUCGCUAGGGACGAAGCGCAAGUGACGGUACCUGGAGAAGAAGCACCGGCUAACUACGUG
rnacentral:rRNA from 1 species